GCCGCAGGCCGCCUUAUCGCUGCGCUUAGGCGUGGAGGAAAGUCCGGACACCGUAGGGCAGCAUAGCGGGUAACGCCCGUCAUUCUGCUUAGGCAGGAGAGGACAAGUGCAACAGAAAGGAUGUACAGGUAAUGCUGUAGUGAAAUCAGGUAAACUCUAUGCGGUGAAAUGCCAUGUAUACCGGCAAUUAAGGGCUGCCCACCCAAUGCCGGGGGGUAGGCAGAUAGACCCCUGUAGUAAUACAGGGGCCAGAUAAAUGAUAAGGGUCCCGUAAGGGAUACAGAAUCCGGCUUACAGGCCUGCUUUUCUU
rfam:Flavobacterium beibuense F44-8 contig4, whole genome shotgun sequence.